rnacentral:rRNA from 1 species
UUUGAACGUUCGAUCUCAAAUCAGGUAGGACUACCCGCUGAACUUAAGCAUAUCAAUA